CCUACGGGGGGCAGCAGUGGGGAAUAUUGGGCAAUGGGCGCAAGCCUGACCCAGCAACGCCGCGUGAAGGAAGAAGGCUUUCGGGUUGUAAACUUCUUUUCUCAGGGACGAAGCAACUGACGGUACCUGAGGAAUAAGCUACGGCUAACUACGGGCUAGCAGCCGCGGGAACACGUAGGUGGCAAGCGUUAUCCGGAUUUACUGGGUGUAAAGGGCGUGUAGGCGGGGUCGCAAGUCAGAUGUGAAUACCACGGGCUCAACCUGUGGCCAGCAUUUGAAACUGGGUUUCUAGAGUACGGGAGAGACAGGCGGAAUGCGUGGUGUAGCGGUGAAAUGCGUAGAUAUUAGGAGGAACACCAGUGGCGAAGGCGGUCUGCUGGAGAACAACUGACGCUGAGGCGCGAAAGCGUGGGGAGCAAACAGGAUUAGAUACCCGAGUAGUC
rnacentral:rRNA from 1 species